AACGAACGCUGGCGGCAUGCCUAACACAUGCAAGUCGAACGCGUGUAGCAAUACACGAGUGGCGGACGGGUGAGUAACGCGUGGGAACCUGCCCAAUGGUAGGGAAUAACUGCGGGAAACUGCAGCUAAUACCCUAUGCUCCCUACGGGGAAAAGAUUUAUCGCCAUUGGAGGGGCCCGCGUCGGAUUAGCUAGUUGGCGGGGUAAUGGCCCACCAAGGCUACGAUCCGUAGCUGGUCUGAGAGGAUGAUCAGCCACACUGGGACUGAGAUACGGCCCAGACUCCUACGGGAGGCAGCAGUGGGGAAUAUUGGACAAUGGGGGAAACCCUGAUCCAGCAAUGCCGCGUGAGUGAAGAAGGCCUUAGGGUUGUAAAGCUCUUUCGGCGGGGACGAUGGUGACGGUACCCGCAGAAGAAGCCCCGGCUAACUUCGUGCCAGCAGCCGCGGUAACAC
rnacentral:rRNA from 1 species